GGCUGUGUUACCCAGUUCGAAUAAAAAAAAAACAAGGCAAGACGGAUAAUACGAGGCGCUACUCUUCUCCCUCUUCGUCUUCCAGCUUUCUUCACCAUCGUUUCUGUUUUCCCAAUCCAGAACUCCACAAUCAAUACUCCACUACCUCUCCAUCCAUCAAUUCUUUCUUUAUGAUUUCGAUUUCGUUUACCCUUACCCUCCUGCUUUAUAUACUGAUUUUCUCUCCUCGGUGCAAACCAAACCCUAAAACUUUUUUCACCUCGAUUCGCGAUGAAACCGAAUGGAAAAUCCCCGAUGAUCUCCGAUUAUGAUGAAAAGGUCAUGUUCUUCCGAGAUGUUACACCGGGUCCUCACGAAACCCAGCUGCGUUUCCGCUUGAUUCAUUUCUGGGAGGCUUGGAACCCUCUAAAGAAGACACUUGUUGGCCUUGAGAUGCUUCUAAUAGAUGAACAGGUACUUGAUUUCACCGAUCGUUUUUAUCUUCGUCGUUAUUUAGAUCAGUUUUUAGAUCCCACUUAUAUGUAGGGUUUUUAGAUCCCACCUAUAUUUAGAAAAUUAGUAUGAAAAAAAAAUUCUCGAGAAACCUAAUCGUGGAAAUGUCAAAUGAUAAAAUUUUAUCAAUUUUGUAGAAAAUAUAUAUAUAAAAAAAUUUGAUUGGUUGUGUAUUUUGUCGCAGGGAUCUGUUAUCCAAGAAUUCGUUUCGCCUGGACGUAUCGAUACAUAUUUGCCUAAAAUGAAGCCUGGGUUGGUUUACAAACUCAACAAUUUUUAUGGAUCAAGCAAAAAAUCGGUGUAUCGGGUCUCUGGUCAUGCCGUGACGGUGUCAUUCUCAUGGAACUCUGAACUGUCUGUUUUGGAAGACAGUUCCACCCUUUUUGAAGAAGACAGAUUCCGAUUUCAUUCCUUUGAGGAUUUUCAAGCUAACUGCAACCGCAAACGAGACCUCUACGAUGUUGUUGGCCACAUGAAGGUGGUUAAUGGAUAGAGUCUCAUUGAGACCCCAGUCCUUGACGAAGUGGAGAUCGCAAGGGCGAGGCAUGUGCUGGUUCAUCUGCAGUCACACGAUGGACCUGUGAUGAAGCUCUACCUUUGGGACCAGGCUGCAAGAGACUUCUGCAAGAAAUUCAAAUCAUACGAAAACACCCCCACCGUGUUAUUGGUCACGACUGUUAACACUAAGAG